rnacentral:rRNA from 1 species
AUUGAACGCUGGCGGCAGGCCUAACACAUGCAAGUCGAACGAGUGGCGGACUGGUGAGUAAUGUCUGGGAAACUGCCUGAUGGAGGGGGAUGACGACUGGAAAAGGUAGCUAAUACCGCAUAACAUGCGCUGGGCCGAGAUGGGAUUAGCUUGUUGGUGGGGUAACGGCUCACCAAGGCGAAGAUCCCUAGCUGGUCUGAGCGGGUGACCGGCCACACUGGAACUGAGACACGGUCCAGACUCCUACGGGAGGCAGCAGUGGGGAAUAUUGCACAAUGGGCGCAAGCCUGAUGCAGCAAUGCCGCGUGUAUGAAGAAGGCCUUCGGGUCGUAAAGUACUUUCAGCGGGGAGGCGUUACCCGCAGAAGAAGCAACGGCUAACUCCGUGCCAGCAGCCGCGGUAAUUC